rnacentral:siRNA from 1 species
GAAUGCUGUAAAGUUCUGAUAGUG